rnacentral:lncRNA from 1 species
AAUACAAAACAUAUCAACUUCAAUUUUUAAAAAAAUUCCUCUGAGUUCAAUUUCUUCUGCAUUUUCUUGUUCUUCUUCUUUGAAGAUUCGUACAACUCUUCAAAUUUUCAACCAUUUCUAACUCCUUCGUAUUUCUCUCAUAUUCAUCGACAACUUCAUAAACAUCAUUUCCUUAUUCUAUGUCUUCAUCCCAUAUGAAUAAGUUACAAGUAUC